rnacentral:rRNA from 1 species
CCUACGGGAGGCAGCAGCCGCGGUAAUACGUAGGGGGCAAGCGUUAUCCGGAUUUACUGGGUGUAAAGGGAGCGUAGACGGCGCGGCAAGUCUGAAGUGAAAGGCAGGGGCUUAACCCCUGAACUGCUUUGGAAACUGCCAUGCUAGAGUGCUGGAGAGGUAAGUGGAAUUCCUAGUGUAGCGGUGAAAUGCGUAGAUAUUAGGAGGAACACCAGUGGCGAAGGCGGCUUACUGGACAGUAACUGACGUUGAGGCUCGAAAGCGUGGGGAGCAAACAGGAUUAGAAACCCCUGUAGUCCACUAAA